GUUGGGCGCAGUGGCGCAUGCCUGUAAUCCCAGUGGCGUGGGAGGCUGAGGCAGGAGGAUCAAGAGUUCAAAGCCAACCUCAGCAAUGGCGAGGUGCUAAGCAACUCAAGUGAGACCCUGUCUCUA
rnacentral:sRNA from 1 species